rnacentral:tRNA from 1 species
GCCCGGGUGGCGGAACUGGCAGACGCAAGGGACUUAAAAUCCCUCGGCCUUAUGGCUGUACGGGUUCGAUUCCCGUCCCGGGCACCA